CCGGCGAGGUGGCCGGCCUCCUUCCUCUUGCCUCGGCGGGGGCCGCUCUCCCCGGGCAGCCUGGGGCAGGGCCGGGGGAGGCCUCUUCCUGCGCCUCUGCUCCAGCCCUGGUGGGUGGAGAUCCGGCUGCCUCCAAGAGAAUCCAGCUCUGCCCAGCGGAACUUCUGUGAUAGUGGAGACGUUCUAUAUCCGUGCUGCCCAGCGCAGUGGCCACUAGCUACAUGUGAUUGUCCAGCACUUGAAAUAUGGCUAGUGUGACAUUUGACUUAAUUUUAAUUUUAAGCUAGGAGCAUCUUUCUGACCCACGGUCUACGGUCAAGGCGUUAGCCCUGGUCCUGCAGGGGCUGGAGGGAACACGGAGCUGGCUCUGCGUGUAAGCAACUCCACCAGAGCGGGGCUGAACGGCAUCAUCCCUGCACGCAGGAACCUGUGUGUGCAGGAGCCAGUCUGGCUGACGCUCACGUAGUGGAAAUUGCCUUGGUAAUACUGGGGGUCGCUGCCUCCCAAGACAAGCUCUCCUCCGAGCAAGUGGGAAUCC